rnacentral:rRNA from 1 species
AGUGAACGCUGGCGGUAGGCCUAACACAUGCAAGUCGAACGGCAGCACAGUAAGAGCUUGCUCUUACGGGUGGCGAGUGGCGGACGGGUGAGGAAUACAUCGGAAUCUACUUUUUCGUGGGGGAUAACGUAGGGAAACUUACGCUAAUACCGCAUACGACCUACGGGUGAAAGCAGGGGAUCUUCGGACCUUGCGCGAUUGAAUAAGCCGAUGUCGGAUUAGCUAGUUGGCGGGGUAAAGGCCCAUCAAGGCGACGAUCCGUAGCUGGUCUGAGAGGAUGAUCAGCCACACUGGAACUGAGACACGGUCCAGACUCCUACGGGAGGCAGCAGUGGGGAAUAUUGGACAAUGGGCGCAAGCCUGAUCCAGCCAUACCGCGUGGGUGAAGAAGGCCUUCGGGUUGUAAAGCCCUUUUGUUGGGAAAGAAAAGCAGCAGGUUAAUACCCCGCUGUUCUGACGGUACCCAAAGAAUAAGCACCGGCUAACUUCGUG